rnacentral:tRNA from 1 species
GGAGGGGUUCCCGAGUGGCCAAAGGGAGCAGACUGUAAAUCUGCCGGCACUGCCUUCGAUGGUUCGAAUCCGUCUCCCUC